GGAAGAUGGCGGAUAUUAACAUCUAUCCAGCUCGCACGAGGUAAUUAGAGGCUGAUUAUGGGGAGUAAAUCAGUCUCCCUCAUCUCUCCAGGGGGGAGACAUGCAGUUUUCACCCGCUGUUGCCAUAAAUCACCCCCGAGUUCGGAAGAAGGAGGGGGUGAGACACUGGGUGCACAACCCUCGGCGGGCCUCGGAACUCCUCUGAAGCUGCUUCCAGGUGCGAAACUAGUUGCGUUACUUAAAAGGAAAAAAAUUGGUGAAAGAUAACGCACAUGCUUCAAGAGAGGCAGGAGGUUUUUUUUAUCUGCUAACAAUUUUACUAUCGAAAUGAAGAAGACUGAGACGGAAGAUUACAUCAAAGUACUACAGACAUGGUAAGUGGAAUGGAAUGCAAUGGAACUGAAAGAGGGAGGAAAUGACUUUUACCUUUUUUUGCUCUAUGUGAUUAACUAAUAACCCUCCCUCUUAGAAGAUCCGUCACAGCAAUUAAUUGGCAAAUGGGACUAAAAAUGAACUGUGUGAGAAUAAUAUGAACUUAAAGGUUUUACUCUGUGAAGGAUUUGGAAAGAAGAAGGGCUCUCUUUGUGACGCAGUAAGAAUGGAGAUGUGAUACGAGACCUGUGUUGCAGGAGGUUUGGUCUUGGGGAGGGCGAGCCGAAGAUUUAUUAUUUUCGAUGAGAUUGCGAACUGGAAGGGGCAGCCCUCCUGGAAAAAGACUAAUUUACGAUGCAACAGGUAGGGAAAGUUAAAGAGCGAGCUUUUAGACUGUAUUUCAUCGGAACGACAAAAUGGCGAUUGCUUGCUCGAGCGGACAUGCCUGGACUAUUGGACGAGAGUGAUUUAUGAGAGAGCAGUACAAAGCCCACACAGAAACACAAAUAAGACUGUUUUUUUCAACCCACUUACGGAGCAACUCGGAGGUGAAUGAAAAGGAAAAUGAGUAACGACAAGGAUUGAGAAGAGGGGACUGGAAAUAUCAUUCUUAAUAUGAAAGCAGCAUAAAUAUUCGAGGAUUGGACUCCUGCCGAUCAAGAAGCAUGGGUACCC